rnacentral:rRNA from 1 species
UACGUAGGGUGCGAGCGUUAAUCGGAAUUACUGGGCGUAAAGGGCGCGUAGGCGGCAAAUUAAGUCAGCUGUGAAAUCUCCGAGCUUAACUCGGAACGGUCAGCUGAUACUGAUCUGCUAGAGUGCGGAAGGGGCAAUCGGAAUUCUUGGUGUAGCGGUGAAAUGCGUAGAUAUCAAGAGGAACACCUGAGGUGAAGACGGGUUGCUGGGCCGACACUGACGCUGAGUGCGCGAAAGCCAGGGGAGCAAACGGGG